UAGGGAAUCUUCCACAAUGGGCGAAAGUCUGAUGGAGCAACGCCGCGUGAGUGAAGAAGGUUUUCGGAUCGUAAAGCUCUGUUGUUGGUGAAGAAGGAUAGAGGCAGUAACUGGUCUUUAUUUGACGGUAACCAACCAGAAAGUCACGGCUAACUACGUGCCAC
rnacentral:rRNA from 1 species